rnacentral:lncRNA from 1 species
UUUUUUUUUUUUUUUUUUUUUUGGUAAAUAUGUAGACCUAUUUUAUUUGUCAGGGAUCCCUGGGUGGCUCAGCAGUUUAGCACCUGCCUUCGGCCCAGGUUGUGAUCCUGGAGUCCUGAGAUCGAGUCCCACAUCGGGGUCCCUGCAUGGACUCUGCUUCUCCCUCUGCCUGUGUCUCUGCAUUUCUCAUGAAUAAAUAAAUAAAAUCUUAAAAAAAAAAAAGAGUAUCAAUUUUAUUUAGGUACAAAAAUGAUCAGAAUUUCAGUCCUGGCUGGGUAGCCUUGGGCAAGUUACUUAACCUUUGCUACUCAAAAUGUGGUCCAUGUGCCAGCAGUAGACAGAUACCUGGGAGCUUGAUGGAAAUGUGUUACAUCAGGCCUACCCCAUAUUUGCUGAAACAGAGCCUGUAUUAACAAGAUCUUCAGGUGUUAUGCACAUGAGAGGUGGGGAAGCAUUCAUUGUACUGCAUACCUGAAACUACUAUAACACUGUAUUUUAACUAACUGGAAUUAUUAUUGUUGUUGUUGUUAUAUUUUUUAAGUAAUCUCUAUACCCAAUGUGGGACUUGAACUCAUGACUCCAAGAUCAAGUCGUAUGCUCUACCUACUGAUCAAGCCAGGUGCCUCUUAACCAGAAUUAAAUGAAAACAGGGGUGUCUGGGUGGCUCAGCUGGUUGGUUGUGCCUGCCUUCUGCUCAGGUCAUGAUCUCGGUGUCCUGGAAUUGAGCCCAUGUCAGGCUCCCUGUUCAGUGGGGAGUCUGUUUCUCCCUCUCCCUCUGCUGCUCCCUGCUUGUGCCUGCUUGCUCUUUCCCGCAAAUAAAUAAGAAAAUUAAAAAAAAAAAAAAAAAAAAAAAAAAAACGAAGACUUAAAAAGCCAAAAACAAAACAAAACAAAACAAAAAAACACUAGGGAAACAUUGAUUUAACAUCUCCAAGUGUCACUCUCAUAAGAGAGGAGCCAAAGUGGCUUUUAAACAAAUUAAAUAUAAAUAUAACCAGCUUUUAAAACAAAUUUGCUAAGUCAUUCUCACCAAUUUAUUCUUCCAAACAAGCUUUCGAAUCCUUUAUCAGCAUUCCACCAAAAAAACAAAAAAAAAACAAAACAAAAAAAAAAAAACAAACCAAUAAAACACCCCAGUGGAAUUCUCAUUAGAAUUACAUUAAAAUAUAAAAUAAUUUGAGAAUUGGUAUCUUUAUAAUAUUUAUUCUUCCUAUCCAGGAACAUGGGCUGUCUUUCCCAUUUAUUCAGUCUUUUUACUUUUUAUUCAAGUAUAACGAUUCAAUAAUUCUAUACAUUACACAGUGUUCAUCCUGAUAAAAAUAUGGAACACCAUGAAUUUGCGUGUCAUCCUUGUGGAGGAGUCAUACUAACCUUUUCUGUAUAGUUCCAAUUUUAGUAUAUGUGCUGCCAAAGCAAGCAAUAUAUAUAUAUAUAUAUAUAUUUUUUUUUUUUUAGCAAGCAAUAAAUUUAACCAGCUUUUUAACAAUUAAAAAUUAAGCAGCUGGCUCAAUCUUGGAGCUUGUGACUCUUGAUCUCGGGAUUGUAAAUUUGAGCCCCGUGUUGGGUGUAGAGAUUACUUAAUAAAAUCUUUUUAAAAAAUUAAGCAGAACAGAAAGUAAAGUGAAAAGCAGGGCAGCCUGGGUGGCUCAGCGGUUUAGCGCCGCCUUCAGCCCAGGGCGUGAUCCUGGAGACCCCGGAUUGAGAGUCCCACGUUGGGCUUCCUGUAGGGAGCCUGCUUCUCCCUCUCCCUGUGUCUCUGCCUCUCUCUCUCUGUGUGUCUCAUGAAUAAAUAAAUAAAAUCUUAAAAAAAAAAAAAAGUCCUCCUCCAUCUCCCAACUCCUCCUCACCCCACAACACCCCUACAACUCCUGUCCCCCACUAGCCAUUCUCUGAACCUCCUCCAGUUUGGCCUGGGGGUCUUUGUCCUUGGCAGGCAGCAACCACCACACUCCAGGCAUUAUUUGCCUUGAGUCUGGGGGGGUAGCACUAAAAAAUCAUCCUUCCCUUCUAUAAGCCAAUAUGUUCUUCAAAGAAAUGCUCACUCUGAUCAGGCUGACUGAUCCCUCCCUUUCUCCUAUAAAGCCCACAGGAGGGCAUGGUUCCAGGUCAAAAACUGGUCCAGGGGGAUCCCCGGGUGGCUCAGCGGUUUAGCGCCUGCCUUUGGCCCACAGUGGAAUCCUAGAGUCCUGGGAUCGUGUCCCACAUCAGGCUCCCUUCAUGGAGCCUGCUUCUCCCUCUGCCUGUGUCUCUGCCUCUCUCUCUCUUUGUGUCUCUCAUGAAUAAAUAAAUAAAAUCUUAAAAAAAAAAAAAAAAAAACUGGUCCAGUCACCUCUUAGCAACUUAUAAGGAGAGAUCCCUACCUCUCUCUUAAAAAUGUUAGGGUCAGGGGAUCCCUGGCUGGCUCAGCAGUUUAGUGCCUGCCUUUGGCCCAGGGCGUGAUCCUGGAGUCCCGGGAUCGAGUCCCAUGUCGGGCUCCCUGCAUGGAGCCUGUUCUCUGCCUGUGUCUCUGUCUCUCUCUCUCUCUAUGUCUAUCAUAAAUAAAUAAAAUCUUUAAAAAAAAAAAAAAAAAAAAAAAAG